UUAAACACCAGUUCUCAUACAAUCACCAAGGUUAAGCAUCAUUAAGCCUGGUUAGUACCUAUAUUGGUGACCAUUUGGGAAUACCAGGUGCUGUAAG